rnacentral:rRNA from 1 species
UAGGGAAUUUUCGGCAAUGGGCGAAAGCCUGACCGAGCAACGCCGCGUGAAGGAAGAAGGAAUCGUUUUGUAAACUUCUGUCAUAGAGGAAGAACGGUAUGAUCAGGGAAUGGGUCAUAAGUGACGGUACUCUAUAAGAAAGCCACGGCUAACUACGUGCC